rnacentral:rRNA from 1 species
GACGAACGCUGGCGGCGUGCUUAACACAUGCAAGUCGAACGGAAAGGCCCUGCUUUUGUGGGGUGCUCGAGUGGCGAACGGGUGAGUAACACGUGAGUAACCUGCCCUUGACUUUGGGAUAACUUCAGGAAACUGGGGCUAAUACCGGAUAGGAGCUCCUGCUGCAUGGUGGGGGUUGGAAAGUUUCGGCGGUUGGGGAUGGACUCGCGGCUUAUCAGCUUGUUGGCGGGGUAGUGGCUUACCAAGGCUUUGACGGGUAGCCGGCCUGAGAGGGUGACCGGCCACAUUGGGACUGAGAUACGGCCCAGACUCCUACGGGAGGCAGCAGUGGGGAAUAUUGCACAAUGGGCGGAAGCCUGAUGCAGCAACGCCGCGUGCGGGAUGACGGCCUUCGGGUUGUAAACCGCUUUCGCCUGUGACGAAGCGUGAAUGACGGUAAUGGGUAAAGAAGCACCGGCUAACUACGUG